rnacentral:lncRNA from 1 species
CAACCUUUGGACCACGUCUUCUCUGCUUCUGUCCUGGACCUGUCAGCUUGGCUGUUAUUUAGCUCAAGUUUGAAUCUGCAUCAUCAGCCUUCCACGGAACCGAGUCUCAGAUAACCACGGGACCCUGAGCUACGAAGACCCUGAUGCUGCUUUCUCAAUUGAGGAUUUUUUUCUAUGUUUAGAGCUGGAUGUGAGGAUGUUUGGAACUUAAUGCCUUCUUUUUAAUGGACAGUUAACCCAAAACAUGUAAUCCCUGAACAGCAUCGAGAAUCCUUCUUCACCAAUGCACGGCAUCAGAUUCCUGGGGCUGCGAGCACCAGGCCCACACACCAGACCAGGCCCACACGAACGGAGGAGUCUCUCACACCUGGUGCCAGGACUCGAAGUGAACUUUGAGGACCAGGUCUUCUAAACAGCGAGGAUCACGACGGCCAAUCAGAAGAGGCCGCAGGGUAUCAGCAGCACGGGGAGCGGGCCUCCGGGGUUUUCGCCCUGUCCUCCUGGGAGCUGACCUUUACAUGACCUUUGCACUUUCCCCUGCUCCUGCUUCCUCAGCCUCUCCUGCCUCUGAAGCCAUCGCCCCCACUCAGCUCCUCCGAGCACCUCUGCUAAAUUUUUACCUGGGAUGCUGCACGAGCACAGAAGUCAGUUACAAUAAUAAGCACGACAAUAGAAACUAAAUUUUCAAGAGCUCCAAUGUAACUGGAGCCUGAAGGCAACCUGGUUAACCAUUACAUACUUAGUACUUCAGUAUUCCACGGUAUAGUACAGUACUUUUUUUUUUGAGACAGGGUCUUGCCUUGUAGUCCAGGCUGGCCCCAAACUUUCAGCGAUCUUCCUGCCUCAGCCUCCUGAGUGCUGUGAUUACAGUAUGGCUCUGGGCAAUCGUAGUAAAGCUCCUGACCAGACAGAAAGAUCCACCUGCAGAUGGCCGGAGCGACGCGUCUGGGCUGUGUUUGCCCUGGUCCGCGGCACCGUCCUUUAACUUCCAGGUGUUACGUGUAAGCCAGGAAUUCCCACACCCAGCGAGGCUCUCUAGCUGCUCCCUGCAAGUUCGGGAAGUAUUCCAGGCUCUGCAGUCCUGCGGUGCGGGCAUCCCGGAGACCAAAGCCGGGGUCACUCUGAAGAUUAGCUGUGGUCUGUGGGCCGCAGCUCCACACAACAUCAGGCUCCUUGGGUUGGCAGAAGGUGGCAGAAGAUCCUGCUUGAAAAGUGCCCGGGAGGCUGCAAUCUAGAAGACUUUCUAGUCACUCAGAAACAUCCGAGUCCUCUGUGAACCUCGACGAUUUGGAGACGACUCUUGCUAACUUUUCAGAGACAGACGACUACGUUUGUGCCUGUUUGGCCUCUGACUUGUGCAAGAGGGAUUCAGUUGCUUAUUUAUGUUGAGUUCGGGUGAAGCGAGCUGUGAGCCUGGUAGACACCAGCACAGGGGAAGACUUCCUGAGGGAGGUGGGAUUCGAGUGUGGCCUUCAAGAACCAAGGGCAUCGCCAGAGGGGAG